AUUUCUUAUGUUCUAUUUUAAAAAAAAAAAAAUCUAAUUAUGUAUCUUACAACAGACAUUUUGUAUCCAACACUGCACUUGUCUAGUAAAUGAAGGAUACCUGUCACUCUAGCCAUUCUGAUCUUUGCAGAUUUCAUCCUGAUUUUAUUACAGUACAUGUCAAAAGGUUACAUUAUUUGGUUUAGUUCUUUUAUAUUUUUCACUGUAUAUAACAAAAGAACUGAGUGAGGGUCAUGUUCCUCUUGAAAUUGAAAAAAAAAAAAGCGUUCUGUCCUUUAUUACUCUUACCUGCUUGACUUCUAACUCACUAACUUGUUAUAGAGGCUACUUUUGGCAAAACACAGGGAGGAUGUCCACACAUGGAUCUCCCUAGGAGGGAAAGACCUGGAGGAAAAGGGUCAAUUCCCAAGUCAUGGACACACUCUGAUGGGGAGCUUAAUUGAAAACAGUCCUUGUGUGGUUAGGCCUUUCUCCACUCACACACACCUCCUCCUCCUCCUCUAGCCCAGUUCAUGUCCACAGCAUUCGGUCAAGAGCGUGACGGAGGGUCAAGCUUCAACAGCGCGUACUCAAGCAGCUCUGCCCAAAGAAGGCAUUGUAGUCCUGUGAGAGGUUGUUUUUUUUGUUGUUUUUUUUUAUCUUCAUUCUGGCACACUGCUUCAGAAGUUCUGCACUCUUAGGCAAAGAUACACCACAGUGACAAUAAAAGAAAAUCGUGCUCCGAAACCACCUUGAUCCUCUGCCAAUCUUGAUAAGUUAUAAGUCCAAAGAUUUCUCCACUGUGUUAGUGGGAAAACAGUCACUGGUUCACUGGAGCAUCUCACCAGCCCUCACUUUUGUUUGUUUGUUUGUUUGUUUGUUUGUUUAUUUAUUUGUACUUCACAUCACCAGGGGUUUGGAGAGAGCAAUUGGGAGUAUCAAUGGUACGUACUGUUGACCAUAAUCACUGACAGGAGAUGACGCAUUCAUUUGGCCAAAUGUUUUAGUAUUUGACCUUGAAGUCACAUAGCAGCUUUUUAUUUCUCUUUCUCUGACAGGCUGUUUACUUCAGGAUUUCACUAAUGGACACAAUGGAUGUGAUGAAUAGAUUUUAGUUCUAUUAUUAAAAUGACCUGUUUAAAGUCAAUAGAGGUUUCAGU
ensembl:lncRNA